UACGUAGGGAGCGAGCGUUGUCCGGAAUUACUGGGCGUAAAGAGCUCGUAGGUGGUUUGUCGCGUUGUUCGUGAAAACUCACAGCUUAACUGUGGGCGUGCGGGCGAUACGGGCAGACUGGAGUACUGCAGGGGAGACUGGAAUUCCUGGUGUAGCGGUGGAAUGCGCAGAUAUCAGGAGGAACACCGGUGGCGAAGGAGGGUCUCUGGGCAGUAACUGACGAUGAGGAGCGAAAGCGUGGGGAGCGAACAGG
rnacentral:rRNA from 1 species